rnacentral:rRNA from 1 species
AAUAGAUACCCGGGUAGUCCACGCCGUAAACGAUGAGUGCUAAGUGUUGGGGGGUUUCCGCCCCUCAGUGCUGCAGCUAACGCAUUAAGCACUCCGCCUGGGGAGUACGGUCGCAAGACUGAAACUCAAAGGAAUUGACGGGGGCCCGCACAAGCGGUGGAGCAUGUGGUUUAAUUCGAAGCAACGCGAAGAACCUUACCAGGUCUUGACAUCCCGGUGACCACUAUGGAGACAUAGUUUCCCCUUCGGGGGCAACGGUGACAGGUGGUGCAUGGUUGUCGUCAGCUCGUGUCGUGAGAUGUUGGGUUAAGUCCCGCAACGAGCGCAACCCUUAUUCUUAGUUGCCAUCAUUCAGUUGGGCACUCUAAGGAGACUGCCGGUGAUAAACCGGAGGAAGGUGGGGAUGACGUCAAAUCAUCAUGCCCCUUAUGACCUGGGCUACACACGUGCUACAAUGGACGGUACAAACGGUUGCCAACCCGCGAGGGGAGCUAAUCCGAUAAAACCGUUCUCAGUUCGGAUUGUAGGCUGCAACUCGCCUACAUGAAC